GGCAAGCAGUGGGGAAUAUUGCACAAUGGGGGAAACCCUGAUGCAGCGACGCCGCGUGGAGGAAGAAGGUCUUCGGAUUGUAAACUCCUGUUGUUGAGGAAGAUAAUGACGGUACUCAACAAGGAAGUGACGACUAACUACGUGCCAGCAGCCGCGGUAAAACGUAGGUCACAAGCGUUGUCCGGAAUUACUGGGUGUAAAGGGAGCGCAGGCGGGCAGACAAGUUGGAAGUGAAAUCCAUGGGCUCAACCCAUGAACUGCUUUCAAAACUGUAUGUCUUGAGUAGUGCAGAGGUAGGCGGAAUUCCCGGUGUAGCGGUGGAAUGCGUAGAUAUCGUGAGGAACACCAGUGGCGAAGGCGGCCUACUGGGCACCAACUGACGCUGAGGCUCGAAAGUGUGGGUAGCAAACAGGAUUAGAUACCCUGGUAGUCCACACCGUAAACGAUGAUUACUAGGUGUUGGAGGAUUGACCCCUUCAGUGCCGCAGUUAACACAAUAAGUAAUCCACCUGGGGAGUACGACCGCAAGGUUGCAAAUGAAAGGAAUUGACGG
rnacentral:rRNA from 1 species